rnacentral:rRNA from 1 species
AACGAACGCUGGCGGCGUGCCUUACACAUGCAAGUCGAACGGCAGCACGGGAGCUUGCUCCUGGUGGCGAGUGGCGAACGGGUGAGUAAUGCAUCGGAACGUACCCGGAAGUGGGGGAUAACGUAGCGAAAGUUACGCUAAUACCGCAUAUUCUGUGAGCAGGAAAGAGGGGGAUCGCAAGACCUCUCGCUUUCGGAGCGGCCGAUGUCGGAUUAGCUAGUUGGUGGGGUAAAGGCCUACCAAGGCGACGAUCCGUAGCGGGUCUGAGAGGAUGAUCCGCCACACUGGAACUGAGACACGGUCCAGACUCCUACGGGAGGCAGCAGUGGGGAAUUUUGGACAAUGGGCGAAAGCCUGAUCCAGCCAUGCCGCGUGAGUGAAGAAGGCCUUCGGGUUGUAAAGCUCUUUCGGCUGAAAAGAAAUCGCACAGGCUAAUACCCUGUGUGGAUGACGGUAUCAGCAUAAGAAGCACCGGCUAACUACGUGCCAGCAGCCGCCGCAG